AGAACAACCCUCUCUCUCCAGCAGAGAGUGUCACCUCCUGUCUUGGGAUCUUCAGGCUCUGCUAACUGGACCUCACCCUGCCUGCAGGAUCACAUUGCAAAGCUUUCACCCUUCCCCACCUUGCCUGGGGGUAAAUUUCUUCUGCGGAAUCUCAGAAAAUCAAAUUCCAUCCUAAGACUAUUUCACCAAGUAUUUCCUUAAGGAGCUGUGCUGGUUAUACAACUCAAAGAAAGUCUGCCUUCCCUGCUGCAGCGCUCCCUCCCGAAGUCAGCAGUAGGUGGAAGUCAGCAGUGGGUGGAUCUGUCCACGCAGCACUCACACAAGAGAACCCCUUUUUAAAAGGUGGCUUGCAGCUGCUGAUUUACCUAAUUUAUUUGAGGGUUUGCCAUAUACAUUACUAAUUACUUAUGUAUAAACUAUUAAUCUUCCCCAAAGCCCUAGGAAAUAUUAUCUUUGUUUGCAGAUAAGAAACUCCAAAACCAAGGCACAGAGCUCCUAAGUAAUGUGCCCAAGAUCACAUGGCUAUCAGAUUGCAGAGCCAGGACUUAAAUCCUGGCCCAUGCUCUGCUUCCCUUUCCAGUUGGUGGCUGGUACUUAUCAUCCCUCGUGCAAAGGGAUGCUAUUCUCAGAACCUUAGGUUAAGUGUAAAAUGAAUUGAAAUUACUUUGAAACAGCAAUAGAGUAAAUAAUCUUAGAUUCCCAGGUUAGUGU
rnacentral:lncRNA from 1 species